AUGUUCCGUGUAGUUGUGCUGCUGUUGCUGGCUGCAGGUUCCUGUGUCGAGUGCGAAGAGUUGACCCAGCCACCGUCUGUCACUCUGCAGUCUGGUCAGAGUCUGAGCAUCGACUGUCGGGUGUCUUAUUCUGUGGCUGCUGGUGGCUACUACACAGCGUGGGUCAGGCAUCCUGCUGGGAAAGGACUGGAGUGGAUUGGGAUGGCGUAUACUGGCGCAUCUUACUACAAGGACUCACUGAAGAACCAGUUCAGUAUUAAUGUGAACCCCUCCAGCAAAACAGUGACUCUAAAUGGACAGAAUAUGCAGCCUGGAGACACGGCUGUGUAUUACUGUGCCAGACAACCACAACAACGGUACUACUUGGACUACUGGGGAAAAGGAACCCAAGUCACAGUUACAUCUGGCACACCAGUCCCACCAGUCCCACCCACUGUCUUUCCUCUGAUGCAAUGUGGCUCCGGAGCAGGAGACAUGGUCACUCUCGGCUGUCUGGCCACCGGCUUCAAACCUCUUCCACUGACGUUUGCGUGGAGCAAAGACGGGACCGAUUUGUCUGACUUCAUUCAGUAUCCUUCAGUGGAGAAGGACAACCUUUACACGGGAGUCAGUCAGAUCCGAGUGAGGCAAGCCGACUGGGACAGCAGGGCCAAAUUUCGAUGUGUCGCCAAACAUUCAACUAAAACUGUUGAUGCCGUGAUCACCAAAACAGAAGAGAGGAUGGAGAGGAUUGUGUCUCCAAACAUGACAUUGUAUCCGCUGUGGGAGGGCAACCUUGCAGGAGACUCCUCUGUCAAACUUAGGUGCGCCUUAAGUGGCUUCUUCCCGGACACGCUGAGUGUCGAGUGGCUGCAGGGCAACCGAAUCAUCGACGGCGUGCAAACCGUGAGCAAGUUUCAGAGUGUGACGGCCCCACAGACCUUCAGUCUAAUCAGUGAGAUUGAGCCUGAUGUAAAAGAGUGGACAAACGGCUUAAGGUUUACCUGCAAGUCCACUCACAACAAGGUGGAAGAGAAAAAGUCAAUCAGUACCUGUGAAACACAGGCAAGCGUCCCACCUUCCGUUCAUGUGGAGCUCCCCAGCUUCAAGGAAGUCAUGACGGAAACAUCCCAAGUGAAAGCAACAUGUUCGGUGCGCACCGCAUUGGAUGCCGUUGUCACAUGGCUGCUGGACGGCAAAGCAGCCAGCGACCAAGCGAGCGCGUACGCUAAUGCGUCUCACGUCAUCAGUACUCUGACAGUGUUGCCUGAUGUGUGGAGACAAAUCAGGAUUCUCAAAUGUAAAGCGGCGCAUCUUUGCUUCCCGGACGUCGAGGAGACCGUACGUGUGUCAGGUGUUGCAGUCACCGCUCCACUGGUGGAGAUGAGGCGAUCUCUUGCAGAUUUACAGAAUAACAACAGCGGCGUGUUCGAGUGUGACAUCACGCAACUGGACGCCAUCGAUCUCUACGUCACAUUUCAGGCCGACGGUGUGGAUAUUUCUAACAAACAGUAUGUUGAUCUCCCUGAAGGCCUGGGCCCACAUUCCAUCCGUCCACGUUUCAGUUUGCACGAGUCCUACAGGAAGAGUGACGCAAAUUUAACCUGCAAAGUGAGCCAAGGCUUCUCCGACAGCUUCCGGUCAAACCCCAUAUACGGCCUUUUUGUGGACCCAUCAGUGGAACUCUUUCUGGCCCCCAGUGAGGAAUCGAAACCUCAGAGGGUUCUGUGCUCUGGUCGGGGCUUUAACCCUCAAAUUAAAUGGUUCAGCGAGGCUAAGCAGAGAGCGCCAUCAAUUACUAGCAUCAGCAUGAGUGCGGAUGGACGUGUGGCUGUGACCAGUCAACUCCACGUCCCACCGAUAGAGUGGCAAACUGGGAAGGUCUUCACCUGUCGAGUGUCUGACAAGUGGCUGAAUAAAGAUGUCACCAAGACCAUCAGCAUUUGCUCCGUAACCCCAAUAUCAUCCCAACAAGUUGGAGUGUUUGUUCACGGACCCCCACUCACAGAGUCUCAGCAGAGGGACAAGGUGACCAUUACUUGUCUUUUGGUUGGCCCUCGACUUCAUGAUUUUGUCAUCUCCUGGAAAGUAGAUGGGAAGAAAUACUCUCAGAAUUCCCACACGGAGGAGCCGACUCGUCACAGCAAUGGUACAGAGACCUUACGGAGCUUCCUCAGUGUGCCAGCAGAUGACUGGGAUGCAUAUAAACAAGUGUCCUGUGAGGGACAACACAAGUGUUCCAACCAGGGCCAUGAGGACUACAUCAGCAAAAGCAGAGACUUGUAUCCACCAACAGUGCACAUAAUACCACCGACCAUCUCAGAGCUGUCACUGUCUGAUGACCUCACACUGGCUUGCCUAGUUUCUGGAUAUUUCCCAGAUAACGUUAUAGUGUACUGGGAGAAAGAUGGUCAAAGAUUGCUGGACUACACCAACAGCCCUUCGUGGAAAUACAGCAGCAGCAAUACUUAUUCAAUGAGCAGUAGAAUUAAUGUGUCUAAAACUGAGGACCGCGAAUCCAGCUAUUCUUGCGCUGUCAGACAUGAGUCAUCUCAAAGUCCUUUUACGAGCACUAUAGAGGACGUGUUUGCCACAGUGACUCCUACCCAACCGUCAGCCAUCUUGCUCCAGGGUCGUGGUGAACUGGUGUGUCUGGUGUUCGGCUUCAGUCCCGCGUCCGUUAACGUCUCCUGGUUUCUGGAUGACACCAAUGAGCUGUCGGACUUCAACACCAGUCAACCCAGCAGAGGCCCAGAUGGGAAGUUCAGCAUCCAAAGCCGCCUUCGUCUGUCUCAAGUCAACUUGUUACCUGGGGCGGUUCACACCUGCAGGGUGACACAUGUGACCGUUACACUGACCUUGAAUAUAACCAAUCCAGUGAUUUUGCCGGAUUGCAACGUCUUGGAUGACAUUGCUCAUGCAGUUGUUAACCAAGAUAUCAAUGCGGAAAGCUGGUAUAUGUCUGCCACAUUCCUUGUCCUCUUUCUCAUCUCCACCAUCUAUGGUGUGGUGGCCACCCUGCUUAAGACUAAAUAAUUCUGUCAGUGGAACAGAUGAAUGCUUCCAAGACAGUGGAUGUUUUAUUGAACUACUUUUGACAUAUAAAUAAAGAUUUGGUUCUAAUACUGUAUCACUGGUUUAAUUUUUGCUUUUAACAAAGCAGUAUCACAACCACAUAAAAAAUAGAAUAUUGUUUCUGCAUUAAAAAAGUAAAAACCAAAAAAUAAAUAAAUAACACACCCUCAGUUACUCACAUUGACCACAAGAGUGCACCAAAGUUUAAACUGUAGUAAAGCUUGCUUGCUUG